rnacentral:lncRNA from 1 species
CGAUUUACCUCCUCCACGAUGGCUCAGGGCAAGGUGGGGCCCCUAAGGUUGGGGUUCAACCUUUUUAAGUAGAGAUGACCAAAAAAAAAAAAAAAGGAAGAUUCCCUCAACUAUGACAAUUUCAACAGAAAACUCAAGAGUAACUGGAGCCUCUUGUGUAGAAACAUACUUAGUGUUGGUGCCGACUACAACAAGUUGGAUUCCAAGAGCAAAAUGCAGAAGUUUGAGGAUCCACUGCCCAACACAUAUCAUUAAAAAUAGUAUUAAAUAAUAUAAUACUAUCAUUUGCUAAAACUCAUUCAAACCUUAUUAUAUAUUUGAAAAACUCAUAAAAAUGGUUUAAAAACUCCUCAAAACAUGGAAGAUAUUUAUCUCUCCCCCACACCAUAAUCAAAACAAUUUGUGCAUAUUCCAAGCUCUCAUCUUUCUCACAUAUUCAAAGAAAAACCUACAAAAUUACUUUCCAAAUUAUGCUGUACAUAAAUAUUAAGCUCCACAUUUAUCUCCUAACACUCAAUAAAACAAUAAAAAAGCAAGACUUCAAUUAUCCAAUUACCAUUUCUGAUACAUAUUAGAAGCU